GAGGAAAUAUUUUGUUACGUGAAAAUUGGAAGGAGAAAAAUCCAAGUCCUUUUUACGCUGACAUCACAUUGAGUCCUAAAUUCGACUGAGAGCAGUUGUGGGGUUACAGACUUUCUUGUUUUCAGUUUAGGGUUUCGAUUUUCAGUCUCAAUCUUGGAGGAUACUUGAUGACGUUUGAUGCAAUCUAAAAUGUUGCUUUAGGCUAUCAUAUCAGCCGCAAAAAUAGCUAUGAAUUCUCUGUAUCAAUUUUGGUAGGAGGUUUUUUCAGACUGUUUAAGAUGGGGGAGUUUGGGAAGCGUCCAUGGAAGGAUGAUGGUGAUAGUAAGAACCAGAAAAGGAGGACUGAGAGAGACCAGAAGGGUAACGAUGAGUUGAUUGUAUAUAGGAUUUUAUGUCCAGAUAAUGUUAUAGGAAGUGUAAUUGGAAAGAGUGGGAAAGUGAUAAAUUCCAUUAGACAAGAGACAAGGGCAAAGGUUAAGGUUGUGGAUCCUUUUCCUGGGGCUAAUGAUAGAGUUAUAACAAUUUAUUGCUAUGUUAAGGAGAAGGAAGAUGUGGAGAUUGAUGAUGAAUUCAAUGAAAAGCAACCUCUCUGUGCUGCUCAGGAUGCACUUCUCAAGGUUCACUUUGCAAUUGCAAAUGCUAUCGCAUCAGUUGGCGAGUCUGACAAUAAGAAGCGGAAAGAUAAGGAGGAAUGCCAAAUUCUUGUUCCGUCAAGCCAAUCUGCGAACAUUAUUGGGAAAUCUGGAAGCACAAUCAAGAAGCUCAGAAGCAAGACAAAGACAAAUAUUAAGAUUACAGCAAAGGAUACUAGUGAUCCAACUCAUUCUUGUGCUUUGGAUUUUGACAACUUUAUUCUGAUAUCUGGUGAAUCAGAGGCAGUGAAGAAAGCACUUUUUGCAAUUUCAGCAAUCAUGUAUAAGUUUAGUCCCAAGGAAGAUAUACCUCUUGAUACUACCAUACCGGAAGCUCCUCCAAGUAUCAUUAUCCCUUCAAAUGUUCCUAUCUACCCUGCUGCUGGACUGUACCCUAGUGUAGAUCCUAUUGUGCCACACAGAGCUGUUCCUUCUGUUUUAGAUCCUGGACACGUACCUGAGUUUCCAGGUUAUACUGAAACUGGGAGUACAUUUCCUGUCUAUUCAUCUGCUCUUCCUGUAGUUUCUGGUUAUGGGAGUGAUGUUAAAUCUGAGGAAUUGACUACAAGGGUGCUCUGCCCAUCUAGUAAGAUUGGCCGUGUUAUUGGUAAAGGAGGAAGUUCCAUUAAAAGUGUAAGGCAGGCUAGUGGUGCUCGUAUUGAGGUAGAAGAUGCCAAGGCCAAUCGUGAUGACUGUCUCAUCACUGUCAUCUCAACAGAGUCAUCAGAUGAUCAGAAAUCCAUUGCAGUUGAGGCUGUAUUGUUGUUGCAAGCCAAGAUUAAUGAUGAGGAAGAUGACACUGUGACCAUGCGUCUUCUUGUUCCCUCUAAGGUUAUUGGGUGUAUUAUUGGAAAAGGUGGUUUGAUUAUAAAUGAAAUUAGGAAAAGAACUAAAGCAGAUGUACAUAUCUCCAAAGAUGAGAUGCCAAAAUGUGCCGAUGCUGAUGAUGAACUCGUUGAGGUGGUUGGCGAAGUUUGUAGUGUCAGGGAUGCACUGAUUCAGAUAGUUUUGAGGCUUCGUGACGAUGUCUUGAAGGGCAACGAAGGAGUUCGUCAUCCUUCUGGUGGUUUUGAUUCUGUUUACUGUGGUGCUGCUGGCCUUCCAGUACCCUCAAUGCUGCCCAAUGUUCCUUCAGUUGCUCCUUUAACUUAUGAUCAGAGAGCUGAAACUGGGGCUGGGGUUAGCAUGCUCUCAUCAAGUAGCCUCUAUGGUUAUGGUUCAUUUCCGGUAAGCCUCUAGGUUGACUUGAGUACUUACUAUUCCACCGAAAUCAGCAAUAGCAUAUAAGGAAUUUUUUAGUCUAUUCUUUAUAAAUAUCAUUUUUUUUUGGGUCUACAUUGGACAAUUAUUCAUUUUUUUGGGUCUACAUUGGACAAUUAUACUCUUUUGUUGUUAUGAGCACUGAAACAUGCAUACUUUGACAUUUGAUUCCUUGUUUCAACAAAAAUUUACUUCUUGUUGUGGUGUUGUAUUUCCUCAUAUCUUUAUCCUAUGAAAAUCUUUUCUAAUUUUGCAUGGCUAGAUACAUUUCAGGUUCUCUUUUUUGGACCAAUGUGAGAAAUAUUUUACCUGCAAUAUCAAUUUAUAUGCAACCUUCAAGUUGCUCAUUCUUAUAAUUCUUAGUAGUCAGCUGAUGUGGUGUAAUCAGAUUAGGUGGAUUGGCUUGGAUUACUUACUGUUAUAUGGCUAGGAGCCUGAGAACUUUUUGAUGUUUGGAGCUCUUGUAACCUAACUUGGUAGUAUAUGCAGAAUGGUUUUGGGCCCAUAGGGAUCAUCGCUGAUAUUUAUCCAGUGAUUUUCAUUUGUAUGAUUAUAAAACAUUUUCUAAGAUAAAGAAGGGCCUCUUCCUUGAAAGCUUGGUCUCCCCAAAGGUAUGUUUGAGCAUGUUUUAAAGCCUUGUUUUGCGUAGUCCAUUAUGGACCCUCAAAAGAAAAUAAUGCAUUCCUAUGGUGAUUUUUGUGAAUCAUUUUAUUUUUCAUUUUUUUUUUUGGGAAUUUGAAGAAGCCAUAAGAUAGAGUACUUGUGGGGAAAUGCUGGUAGGAUUUCUUUUUCUCAGGCAACUUUGCCCUAAGCUUCUAGUUGGCGUUUUGUAUCACUUGGCUUGCCUUUAAUGGUAUUUGACUGCAGCAAUUACAGGUAAUCUUAUAGCAAAAGUCCUUUUCUUUUUGAGGAUUAGUAGCUAUUUAGGCUAUGUGAAGAUUAUGGAUAGAGAUAAGAUAGUAUCUCCUCCAUCUGUGCUGCCCAUGGACUGCAAAGAUACUCUGUUAUUAUUACCCCAAAUUAACAAGGAAACAAAGUACUGAGAGGCAUACUAAGGCCAAAUUUAGAACUCAGGCAUAUGGACUAAGAGGCAGAGGACUGCUUCUAGUAAAUUAUUCCUAUUGGAGACAAUAGUUAUGGUUCUUUGCCUACAUAUUCAUCAAAGGUUUAUGGAGGGUUGCCUCAGUCCUCUGCUUUGGAGAUGGUUGUUCCUGCACAUGCAGUUGGCAAAGUCAUGGGGAAAGGGGGAAUGAAUCUCGAGAAUAUUCGUAAGAUAUCUGGAGCAACUAUAGAGAUCCCGGAAUCGAAAUCCUCUAGGGGCGAUCGCGUGGCUGUAAUAUCUGGUACAUCGGAACAAAAGCGUGCAGCUGAAAACUUGAUUCAGGCAUUUAUAAUGGCCACAUAAGUUAUGUCAAGGCAUGUUGGCUUUCUGAUGGGAUUAAGACUGAGACGUUUCUUAUGAACUCUCCCUUUCUAGUUUCAUUUAGGUUCUCUUCUCUGAGAUCCUUCAUCUCUGUGACCUUCUCCAGGAUUUGCAUUCUGUCGAUGAAAGCAUCUAUAUAGAUGAUGCUGGUCGAUAAAAGCAUCUAGAUAGAUGAUGAUGGAAGGUUAUCCUCAUUUUCUGUUCUCCGGGCAUUUAGGGCGUAGCUGUGGUACCAUAUAGAAUCUACUCAAUCUGCGGUUUCCUUAGAGCUUAAUCGGAUGUUUUCUUUCCUUUCAUACUGCUUUAGUAAUUCUUAGCCUUGUUUACUGCCGAUUCGAUCUUAUUCUGUCAUUGCUUUGCUCUGACAAUUUAGUACUUGUGUCAGAUUAUGAUGUCCAUAAUCAUCCAACUCAUAGAACAUGGAAUGUUCUGUUUUUUCUUUUUCCUCCUCCUAUCAGCUUCUUUAGAAUGAUCUUCAUUUUUGGUGA